rnacentral:rRNA from 1 species
AGUGAACGCUGGCGGCAUGCCUAACACAUGCAAGUAGAACGGCAACACAGUAAGCGUUCUCUCUUCCGGGUGGUUACUGGCGGAUGGGUGAGGCGUACAUCGCAAUCUUCUUUUUCGUGGGGGAUAACGUAGGGAAACUUACACUAAUACCUAAUACGACCUACGGCAUGAUGCAUGCUAUCUUCGGACCUUGCGCGAUUUAAUAGGCCGAUGUCGGAUUAGUUAGUUAGCUGGUUAAAGGCCCACCAAGGCGACCAUCCGUAGCUGGUCGGAGAGGAUGAUCAGCCAAAGUGGAACUGAGCAACGGUCAGGACCCCUACGGGAGGCGGCGGAGGGGAAUAUUGGCAAAUGGGCGCAAGCCUGAUCCAGCCAGACCGCGUGGGUGAAGAAGGCUUUCGGGUUGUAAAGCCCUUUUGUUGGGAAAGAAAAGCAGCAGGUUAAUACCUCGCUGUUGUGACGGUACCCAAAGAAUAAGCACCGGCUAACUUCGUG